rnacentral:rRNA from 1 species
UACGAAGGGGGCUAGCGUUGCUCGGAAUCACUGGGCGUAAAGCGCCCGUAGGCGGAUUGUUAAGUCCGGGGUGAAAUCCUGGAGCUCAACUCCAGAACUGCCUUUGAUACUGGCGAUCUUGAGUCCGGGAGAGGUGAGUGGAACUGCGAGUGUAGAGGUGAAAUUCGUAGAUAUUCGCAAGAACACCAGUGGCGAAGGCGGCUCACUGGCCCGGUACUGACGCUGAGGUGCGAAAGCGUGGGGAGCAAACAGG